GAUGAAGAACGCAGCGAAAUGCGAUAAGUAAUGUGAAUUGCAGAAUUCAGUGAAUCAUCGAAUCUUUGAACGCACAUUGCGCCCGCCAGUAUUCUGGCGGGCAUGCCUGUUCGAGCGUCAUUUCAACCAUCAAGCCCUGCUUGCGUUGGGGUCCUGCGGCUGCCCGCAGGCCCUGAAAACCAGUGGCGGGCUCGCUAGUCACACCGAGCGCAGUGAUACAUCUCGCUUUGGGCGUGCGGCGGGUUCUUGCCGUUAAACACCCCCUUUUUACCAAGGUUGACCUCGGAUCAGGUAGGAAUACCCGCUGAACUUAAGCAUAUCAAUAAGCGGAGGA
rnacentral:misc_RNA from 1 species